rnacentral:rRNA from 1 species
CCUACGGGUGGCAGCAGUAGGGAAUUUUGCGCAAUGGGCGAAAGCCUGACGCAGCAACGCCGCGUGAUCGAGACGCCCUUCGGGGUGUAACGAUCUGUCAGUGGGGACGAAACUUGACGUUACCCACAGAGGACGCACCGGCUAACUCCGUGCCAGCAGCCGCGGUAAUACGGGGGGUGCCAGCGUUGUCCGGAAUCAUUGGGCGUAACGAGUUCGGAGGCGGGAUGUAAAGUCUGGUGUUAAAGGGAGAGGCUCAACUUCUGUACGGCACUGGAUACUUGCGAGCUAGAAUGCAGUAGAGGUAAAGGGAAGGCCUGGGGUAGCGGUGAAAUGCUUAGAGAUCAGGAGGAACACCGGUGGCGAAAGCGCUUUACUGGGCCGUAAUUGACGCUGAGGAACGAAAGCCAGGGGAGCAAAUGGGAUUAGAUACCCUUGUAGUC